rnacentral:rRNA from 1 species
UACAGAGGUGCCAAGCGUUAGGCGGAAUCACUGGGCUUAAAGCGCGUGUAGGUGGACGGGUAAGUAUCUUGUGAAAUCCCACGGCUCAACCGUGGAACUGCUGGAUAUACUGCUUGUCUUGAGGCACUUAGGGGCAGCUGGAACAAAUGGUGAAGCGGUGAAAUGCGUAGAUAUCAUUUGGAACGCCAAAGGCGAAAGCAGGCUGCUGGGAGUGAUCUGACACUGAGACGCGAAAGCCAGGGAGCAAACGGGAGUUAGAA